UACUAUUCAACUUUUGCCGACGAAAUAUAUUGUCCUCGGAAAAAUUAGUAUUGCCGAACAAACUAAUAAAAUUGACGGUAAAUAGUUGGAACUUUGGCGAGAAUUUUGACAAUUCGUCGGCAAUAGUGAAACACUUUGGCGCCCCAUAUCCCGCCACACGGUCCCGCCAGUCUUGAAAUGAAAAAAAAAAAAAAAAAAAAAAAAAAAAAAAAAAAAACAACAACAACAACAACUAAUGAGUCCAUUAUUUUUCCCUCUAUAUCCGUUGCAUCUCCUUCUCCUUACUCUUUUUUUUUUUUUUUUUUGUUUUUUGUUUUCUUCUGUCAAGAUCCUCCACCGCAAACCGAAUUUCGUCCUUCAAAAAUUGGGUCCAAGCAAGUCAAAACAGUCGCUUUGAAGCAAGUCAAAAUGGGGCGCUGGUCGCCGGUUGUUGCUGUUCUGGUCGCCGAUCUGGUUGUUGACAUUCUGCAGAUAAUACUUCGGUCUGCGAAUUUCUAUUGUUUAUUUGUUUAAUUUGUUUAUCAUAAUAUAUAUUUGGUUCAAAAGGAGGUUUGGCACUGAAAAGCGUUUGAUUGGUAAUUGAAGGUUGGAGUUUCAAUUCAGUCAGAAUCUAGUGGUGUUAGAAUACGUUGGGGCUUUAGUCUCUUGAUAUAUAUAAGUCUAAAGCUCCGGUGGAAGUUUAUGCACAAGUAGUAUCUCGGUUGUGGCUGUUGUUGGUAGCUGGCUAGUGUCACAUGUGAUGAAGUUGGAAGAGUUAUGUUGUUUAGAGAGAUUGGUUAAGCAUAAAAGCACCGAAGAAGUGGUUGUGGAAGUAAUUGUAUUGGAAUACAUUUUGAUUCAAGAUUGCCGCAAUUUAAGAAUUGUUCAUAGCAAUGUAACUAUCUGUUAUAUUAGUGUUAGAAAGGGAAAAGUGGAAAUGUGGAUUGUUUUAGUAGCUAGAUGUCACUAUAUUUUUAAAAGCUUAAAUAAAAAUAGGAUUAUAAUCCUCCUGAG